rnacentral:misc_RNA from 1 species
GAUGAAGAACGUAGCGAAAUGCGAUAAGUAAUGUGAAUUGCAGAAUCCAGUGAAUCAUCGAAUCUUUGAACGCACAUUGCGCCCGCCAGCAUUCUGGCGGGCAUGCCUGUUCGAGCGUCAUUUCAACCCUCGACCUCCCUUUGGGGAAGUCGGCGUUGGGGACCGGCAGCACACCGCCGGCCCUGAAAUGGAGUGGCGGCCCGUCCGCGGCGACCUCUGCGUAGUAAACCAACUCGCACCGGAACCCCGACGUGGCCACGCCGUAAAACACCCAACUUCUGAACGUUGACCUCGAAUCAGGUAGGACUACCCGCUGAUCUUAAGCAUAUCAAUAAGCGGAGGA